rnacentral:rRNA from 1 species
AGCGAACGCUGGCGGUAGGCCUAACACAUGCAAGUCGAACGGCAGCACAGUAAGAGCUUGCUCUUACGGGUGGCGAGUGGCGGACGGGUGAGGAAUACAUCGGAAUCUACUUUUUCGUGGGGGAUAACGUAGGGAAACUUACGCUAAUACCGCAUACGACCUACGGGUGAAAUCAGGGGAUCUUCGGACCUUGCGCGAUUGAAUGAGCCGAUGUCGGAUUAGCUAGUUGGCGGGGUAAAGGCCCACCAAGGCGACGAUCCGUAGCUGGUCUGAGAGGAUGAUCAGCCACACUGGAACUGAGACACGGUCCAGACUCCUACGGGAGGCAGCAGUGGGGAAUAUUGGACAAUGGGCGCAAGCCUGAUCCAGCCAUACCGCGUGGGUGAAGAAGGCCUUCGGGUUGUAAAGCCCUUUUGUUGGGAAAGAAAAGCAGCAGGUUAAUACCCCGCUGUUCUGACGGUACCCAAAGAAUAAGCACCGGCUAACUUCGUG